rnacentral:rRNA from 1 species
GCCCUUGGCGGGCGGCUUACACAUGCAGUCGAGCGGAGUGAUGGUGCUUGCACUAUCACUUAGCGGCGGACGGGUGAGUAAUGCUUAGGAAUCUGCCUAUUAGUGGGGGACAACAUUUCGAAAGGAAUGCUAAUACCGCAUACGUCCUACGGGAGAAAGCAGGGGAUCUUCGGACCUUGCGCUAAUAGAUGAGCCUAAGUCGGAUUAGCUAGUUGGUGGGGUAAAGGCCUACCAAGGCGACGAUCUGUAGCGGGUCUGAGAGGAUGAUCCGCCACACUGGGACUGAGACACGGCCCAGACUCCUACGGGAGGCAGCAGUGGGGAAUAUUGGACAAUGGGCGCAAGCCUGAUCCAGCCAUGCCGCGUGUGUGAAGAAGGCCUUAUGGUUGUAAAGCACUUUAAGCGAGGAGGAGGCUACUGAAGUUAAUACCUUCAGAUAGUGGACGUUACUCGCAGAAUAAGCACCGGCUAACUCUGUGCCAGCAGCCGCGGUAAUACAGAGGGUGCAAGCGUUAAUCGGAUUUACUGGGCGUAAAGCGCGCGUAGGCGGCUAAUUAAGUCAAAUGUGAAAUCCCCGAGCUUAACUUGGGAAUUGCAUUCGAUACUGGUUAGCUAGAGUGUGGGAGAGGAUGGUAGAAUUCCAGGUGUAGCGGUGAAAUGCGUAGAGAUCUGGAGGAAUACCGAUGGCGAAGGCAGCCAUCUGGCCUAACACUGACGCUGAGGUGCGAAAGCAUGGGGAGCAAACAGGAUUAGAUACCCUGGUAGUCCAUGCCGUAAACGAUGUCUACUAGCCGUUGGGGCCUUUGAGGCUUUAGUGGCGCAGCUAACGCGAUAAGUAGACCGCCUGGGGAGUACGGUCGCAAGACUAAAACUCAAAUGAAUUGACGGGGCCCGCACAAGCGGUGGAGCAUGGUGGUUU